UAAUACGGGGGGUGCAAGCGUUAAUCGGAGUUAUUGGGCGUAAAGGGUUCGUAGGUUGUUUAUUAAGUUAUGUGGGAAAUACCUGGGCUUAACCUAGGAAUGUCGGAUAAUACUGGUAAACUUGAGUAUAGUAGAGGGUAGUGGAAUUUCCGGUGUAGCGGUGAAAUGCGUAGAGAUCGGAAGGAACACCAGUGGCGAAGGCGGCUACCUGGACUAAUACUGACACUGAGGAACGAAAGCGUGGGUAGCAAACAGGAUUAGAUACCCUGGUAGUCCACGCCGUAAACGAUGUCAACUAGCUGUUGGGUAAAUAAAUUUACUUAGUGGCGCAGCUAACGCGAUAAGUUGACCGCCUGGGGAGUACGGUCGCAAGAUUA
rnacentral:rRNA from 1 species